CACCACCCCUCCGGCCCCCGCCGGAAAGAGGACCUGGAGGAAAAGACCCCUCAGGCUCCGGCCGCAGCUCCACCCGCAGGGGCCGUGGGAAGCGGGCGCUCCGGGGAGGAUGCCGCGCCCAGUAGGGGUCGACCCGAAGAGGGGGUCCCCUCCGGGGGGGGACCUGCCCGGGGCUGGGCGAGGGUAUGAGUUCCCGGCUCCCCCACAUCCAUCACCCUCAGGCCACGCUGAGCUUCCUGGACGCGGAAGCCUAGGCCCCAGCACCGCUGCACCUGCCGGCCGGGCACCCCACUAACGCGGCAUCCCGAGAAGGGCCGACUUCCAGGACGACGCAGCUGCGUGCACACAGCCCCCCUUGGCCCGGUGCGGCGGCCCGCAGGGGAGAACGAGCUUGCAGGGUGCGGGUGCGGGCCGCUGGGGCCGAUCUGGCGUCGCAGAACCCGGGGUCCACACCGUCCAGGCUGCGGCCGCGACGACCCCCUGCCAGGCGCCGGUCUCCUCCGGGAGGGCUCCAGCCCGCGCCACCUCCAGGCACAGGGCGCCCUCGUAACUCCCAAUGAAAGUCCUGCGGGAAACGGUUCCCGACCUCGCCAGGCUGGGGGCAGAAGCGACGGGAUGACGCGGAUUGUAAUCGGAAGGUAGAAGCAACCCAAGUGUCCACUGAUGGCUGAAUGGAGAAACACAAUGUAGUAUAGAUACAUAGUGGAAUUUAACUCAGAAUUAAAAAGGAAGGAAAUGCUGUCAUCUGCUAAAAUGUGAGAAAACCUUGAGGACAUCAUGCUAAGUGAAAUCAGCUAGUCACAAAAGGACAAAUGCUGUAUGAUUCCAACUAGAUGAGGUACCUCAUACUAUUCAUCAAGACAAAGUAGAAUGAUGGGUGCCAGGGCUGGAUGGAGAAGAGAAUGGGGAGUCAGCGUUUAAUGGGGGCAGAGUUUCAGUUCUGCAAGAUGAAGAAGUUCUGGGGAUGGCUGGUGGUGCUGGCUGCACAAGAGGGAGGAAGACGAAAGCCAGCGCAGAGUUUCCCCAGAAAACAGGAGCCAGAUGGUGCGAAUCCAACAGACUCCACGUGAAAUCAGCCACACCAAAGGUCAGGAGAUCUGUGUGGAGAGAAACUUUCAGAGAAGGCAACCAGGGCACAUCUCUGUUUUAAAACCAUCUCCUGGGCCGGGCACUGUGGCUCACGCCUGUAAUCCCAGCACUUUGGGAGGCUGAGAUGGGCAGAUCACUUGAGGCCAGGAGUUUGAGACCAGCCUGGCCAACAGGGUGAAACCCAAUCUCUACUAAAAAUACAAAAAUUAGCCAGGUAUGUUGCCCAUCUAUAAUUCCAGCUACUCAGGAGGCUGAGGCACGGGAAUCCCUUGAACCGGAGAGGCGGAGGUUGCAAUGAGCCGAGAUCGUGUCACUGAACUCCAGCCUGUGUGACAGAGCGAGUCUCUGUCUCAAAAAACAAAACGAAACAAAACCCACAAAAAUAAAACCAUCUCCCUACCAUGAGCCCUCCACAUUUGCAAUUCAUGAAAAUGGAAAGCUGUCAUGUCCCCACGUGAAUUUUCGGGUCUCACUAGAAAGAUAACCAUCAGGACCGGCAACAUGGGAUUCAACAACAGUUUCUGGUCUAAUUUUUUAAAAAGGACGAAAGAAGGCAGGCUGGUGUCAUGCAAUACUGCUUGCAUUAAAGUAUGUACAUUUAAACUAUGUACCUUGAACUUUUAUUGGAAAAGCGAAGCUCAGUAGUAAAAAUUUACGUUAAUCAAAUUCAUGGAGACAGAAAGUUGCAUGGGAGUUGCCAAGGGCUGGGGAAAGCAAUGCCCACUCCACCUUCAGCUCUGUGAAUUUGGGGAGUCA
rnacentral:lncRNA from 1 species